AUCGUGGAUACAUUUAGUUGCAAUACUAUUGUCGGACGGUUUGGUUAACUAAUAGAAUACAUGAACGCUAUGCGUAGCAAGUUCUUUAACAGCAUAAAAUUUGUUGGAUUGGAUAUGAAGAUUUCGACGUCAUAAUGCAAUAACAAAUAAGACAAGAUCAUUUGGAUCAUUUCGUAUACAAAAGCAAAAGGAUUUUUUUUUUGAAACUUCCCGGUAUCUGUUGAAUUGACAAGAAUGGAGGCAACAUAAAGAAUCGCUGAAAAUUACAGUUGACUUAGAGCCUAAGAAUAUGGCGAUUGUGGAUUAAAUGGAUUACGCUUUGUCACAGGUCGAAGUGCCAACUUUGCUUUUUUUUGAAACUUCCCGGUAUCUGUUGAAUUGACAAGAAUGGAGGCAACAUAAAGAAUCGCUGAAAAUUACAGUUGACUUAGAGCCUAAGAAUAUGGCGAUUGUGGAUUAAAUGGAUUACGCUUUGUCACAGGUCGAAUGGGUUGCAGAGGUUACAGUACAUGGUGAAGUGUGCCAACCCGUUUUUCGGAUCGACUAGAAGUACUUAUAAAUCCAAAUUCACGUUUCAUAAAAGAAUCUGAAAAUUUUGAAUUUAUUUUAAGUUAAAAAAAUUU